rnacentral:rRNA from 1 species
UACGUAUGGUGCAAGCGUUAUCCGGAUUUACUGGGUGUAAAGGGUGCGUAGGUGGCAUGGCAAGUCAGAAGUGAAAGGCCGGGGCUCAACCCCGGGACUGCUUUUGAAACUGUCAGGCUGGAGUGCAGGAGAGGAAAGCGGAAUUCCUAGUGUAGCGGUGAAAUGCGUAGAUAUUAGGAGGAACACCAGUGGCGAAGGCGGCUUUCUGGACUGAAACUGACACUGAGGCACGAAAGCGUGGGGAGCAAACA